rnacentral:rRNA from 1 species
AGAACGAACGCUGGCGGCGUGGAUAAGACAUGCAAGUCGAACGCUGAUUUCAGGGUAGCAAUAUUCUGGAGUCGGAGUGGCGCAAGGGUGCGUAACACGUGGGUAAUUUGCCGUAAAGCCUGGAAUAACUCGCUGAAAGGCGAGCUAAUGCCGGAUGUGAUGUUUGGGAGGCAUCUCCUGAACCUUAAAGCUGGGGACCGUAAGGCCUGGCACUUUUCGAUAAGCCCGCGGCCUAUCAGCUAGUUGGUGAGGUAACGGCUCACCAAGGCUAAGACGGGUAGCUGGUCUGAGAGGACGACCAGCCACACUGGAACUGAGACACGGUCCAGACACCUACGGGUGGCAGCAGUCGAGAAUUUUUCACAAUGGGCGAAAGCCUGAUGGAGCGACGCCGCGUGGGGGAUGAAUGGCUUCGGCCCGUAAACCCCUGUCAUUUGCGAUCAAACCGCGUUGUUUAAGAGAUGACGCGCUGAUAGUAGCGGAAGAGGAAGGGACGGCUAACUCUGUGCCAGCAGCCGCGGUAAUACAGAGGUCCCAAGCGUUGUUCGGAUUCACUGGGCGUAAAGGGUGCGUAGGUGGCCGGGUAAGUCUGACGUGAAAUCUCCAAGCUCAACUUGGAAACUGCGUCGGAUACUAUCCGGCUAGAGGAUCGGAGGGGAGACUGGAAUACUUGGUGUAGCAGUGAAAUGCGUAGAUAUCAAGUGGAACACCAGUGGCGAAGGCGAGUCUCUGGACGAUUCCUGACACUGAGGCACGAAAGCCAGGGGAGCAAACGGGAUUAGAUACCCCGGUAGUCCUGGCCGUAAACGGUGCACGUUUGCUGUAAGAGGAAUCGACCCCUCUUGUGGCGAAGCUAACGCGUUAAACGUGCCGCCUGGGAAGUACGGUCGCAAGAUUAAA